rnacentral:lncRNA from 1 species
UUUCUUUUUCUGUUUUAGGUUCAGUGACAUGUCAUGGAAAUAUGGUAAAGAAUGCCAACUGUCCUAAAGAUCAGUACAUGGUGGUCAAGAAUGCAUCGUACCGUGGAUUGUCUGACACAAAGACAUGUGGUUUAAGUGAUGAUUAUAGUUGUGAAGUUGAUGUAACAUGUCUUGUUAAGAAACAAUGUGAUGGUCAACAUGAGUGUAAUAUAACUGUGAAUGACAACUUGUUCUCUGGUGAUCUAUGUCCUGGAUUGACAAAAUAUCUUUACUUUGAAUAUCAAUGUAUUGACACUCCAACACCUUCUGAAGAAAUUUGUGGUAUGUAAUAUGUAAUAUGUAUGCCUAAUGACAUUAGUUCAGAUUUGACUUCCACUACCGCUACUGUUACCUGUCAGUGUUUUAGUACGCAUUUGGUUGGUUACAUCAACACCAUAUCUUUGUUUGAUUGCCUUUGACAACCGGUAUUAAGCCAAGUAUUAAUUUGCUUAUAUACACUAAGAAUAACUCUAAAGCCGGUUUUCCACAUCGCCCAUAUCGUACGGAAACGUACUGGUGAGCAUGCGCAGAUUGAAAAGGGGUUUAUAAACCACGUACUUCCGAGUGUAUUCGCGUAUCAAAAUAAAAAGUUCGUCGCAAGUCAACUUUUUGGCGUACUACGGAAGUACUAACCAAUCAACAUUCACGAAAUUUUGAAAUUUAAAAACGUUUUUACCACUCAGGGGAAUUAUCCGUGGAUUGGAACGGACAAGAAAAUUUUUCUUUGUGUUAAAGUCAUUAGUCCAAACCCAGAGCUCACAAGACAAAGAAAAACUUUCUUGCCCGUUCCAAUCCACGGAUAAUUUUCCUGAGUGGAAACUAGCCUUAAGGGACUGUUGAUAUGGGUUCGGGUAGCCGGGACGAAUCGUGUCAGGAAAAUUUAUUUCCGGACCAUAAAAGAUAAUUUAAAAUAACUUUAUACUAUUAUCGGAAUACCGUUAUUAAAAUCCGAUGCAUGCAUGAUAGCUCUACACUGUGAUAGAUAUACAAUUAUAUUAACUGAUUGCAUAUUAUCUUUCCAAAAUACCUAGAGCAAUUUUAGAAACGUGACUUACUCUUCACAUUUCGUUUUGUCAUUGUAGUGGAUGGCGUGUCUUUGUCAUAUUCAACUCUACCAAACGAAGGUUUUGUACAGAUAGUGACCAAAUAUAAUGGGAUCAAGAAUGUUUGUCGGCAAAGUUUAACGAACCAGGCCGCGAAAAUUUUUUGUCGUCAAUUGGGUUACACGAGAAUGGCGUCUAAUGUUAAUAAAGUCCCUCCAUCAAAUCAAGAUGCAAUAUUUUCUGGAAGUAUAUAGAGUGUAGCAGUGGAAACUUAUCUCAAUGUUCCUUUACCAUUUCUAACGAAAGUUGUUCUGAGAUUUCUUACAUAAAAUGUAUGUUUU